AAGUCGUAACAAGGUUUCCGUAGGUGAACCUGCGGAAGGAUCAUUAACACUUUUUCCCUUUCCCUAACCUGGAGCAGAGUUUGGCAGAGAACCUUUUAUCGGGUUUUUUUCCACUCUCUCUUCAGACCACCCCUUUGUGUGCACUUGUUGAGAGGGAGAAGCCAGAAGCUUUUGGUUUUUGGUAGAUCUCUCUUACAUUUUUCCAUUUUAUUCUUUUUUUUUACCCCUUUUUUAAUGCGAUAGACUGAAAUAAUGACCUAUUGGAAGGGUCUGAAACCUCCAAAAAUUGUAAUACAACUCUUAGCAACGGAUAUCUAGGCUCUC
rnacentral:misc_RNA from 1 species